UGACGGGUCCCAAAUAGGACGAAACGCGCGUC
rnacentral:hammerhead_ribozyme from 1 species